rnacentral:rRNA from 1 species
GAUGAACGCUAGCUACAGGCUUAACACAUGCAAGUCGAGGGGCAGCAUGGUCUUAGCUUGCUAAGGCCGAUGGCGACCGGCGCACGGGUGAGUAACACGUAUCCAACCUGCCGUCUACUCUUGGACAGCCUUCUGAAAGGAAGAUUAAUACAAGAUGGCAUCAUGAGUCCGCAUGUUCACAUGAUUAAAGGUAUUCCGGUAGACGAUGGGGAUGCGUUCCAUUAGAUAGUAGGCGGGGUAACGGCCCACCUAGUCUUCGAUGGAUAGGGGUUCUGAGAGGAAGGUCCCCCACAUUGGAACUGAGACACGGUCCAAACUCCUACGGGAGGCAGCAGUGAGGAAUAUUGGUCAAUGGGCGAGAGCCUGAACCAGCCAAGUAGCGUGAAGGAUGACUGCCCUAUGGGUUGUAAACUUCUUUUAUAAAGGAAUAAAGUCGGGUAUGCAUACCCGUUUGCAUGUACUUUAUGAAUAAGGAUCGGCUAACUCCGUGCCAGCAGCCGCGGUAAUACGGAGGAUCCGAGCGUUAUCCGGAUUUAUUGGGUUUAAAGGGAGCGUAGAUGGAUGUUUAAGUCAGUUGUGAAAGUUUGCGGCUCAACCGUAAAAUUGCAGUUGAUACUGGAUAUCUUGAGUGCAGUUGAGGCAGGCGGAAUUCGUGGUGUAGCGGUGAAAUGCUUAGAUAUCACGAAGAACUCCGAUUGCGAAGGCAGCCUGCUAAGCUGCAACUGACAUUGAGGCUCGAAAGUGUGGGUAUCAAACAGGAUUAGAUACCCUGGUAGUCCACACGGUAAACGAUGAAUACUCGCUGUUUGCGAUAUACAGCAAGCGGCCAAGCGAAAGCGUUAAGUAUUCCACCUGGGGAGCACGCCGGCAACGGUGAAACUCAAAGGAAUUGACGGGGGCCCGCACAAGCGGAGGAACAUGUGGUUUAAUUCGAUGAUACGCGAGGAACCUUACCCGGGCUUAAAUUGCAGAUGAAUUACGGUGAAAGCCGUAAGCCGCAAGGCAUCUGUGAAGGUGCUGCAUGGUUGUCGUCAGCUCGUGCCGUGAGGUGUCGGCUUAAGUGCCAUAACGAGCGCAACCCUUGUUGUCAGUUACUAACAGGUUCCGCUGAGGACUCUGACAAGACUGCCAUCGUAAGAUGUGAGGAAGGUGGGGAUGACGUCAAAUCAGCACGGCCCUUACGUCCGGGGCUACACACGUGUUACAAUGGGGGGUACAGAGGGCCGCUACCACGCGAGUGGAUGCCAAUCCCCAAAACCUCUCUCAGUUCGGACUGGAGUCUGCAACCCGACUCCACGAAGCUGGAUUCGCUAGUAAUCGCGCAUCAGCCACGGCGCGGUGAAUACGUUCCCGGGCCU